GGUUCGAUCCUGGCCAGAUUGAACGCUGGCGGGAUGCUGCACAUGCAGUCGAACAGCAGCACGGACUUCGGUCUGGUGGCGAAAGUGGCGAAUUGGUGGUAACGUAUCCGGAACGUGCCUAGUAGCGGGGGAUAACUACGCGAAAGCGUAGCUAAUACCGCAUACGCCCUUCGGGGGAAAGCAGGGGACCUUCGGGCCUCGCACUAUUAGAGCGGCCGAUAUCCGGAUUAGCUAGUUGGUGGGUAACAGCUCACCAAGCGUGAUCGUAACUGGUUUGAGAGGACGACCAGCCACACUGGGACUGAGACACGGCCCGGGCUCCACAGGAGGCAGCAGUGGGGAAUUUUGGACAAUGGGGGAAACCCUGAUCCAGCCAUCCCGCGUGUGCGAUGAAGGCCUUCGGGUUGUAAAGCACUUUGGCAGGAAAGAAACGGCACGGGAUAAUACCCGAUGCAACUGACAAUGCCUGCAGAAUAAGCACCGGCUAACUACGUGCCAGCAGCCGCGGUAAUACGUAGGGUGCAAGCGUUAAUCGGAAUUACUGGGCGUAAAGCGUGCGCGGGCGGUUCCGGAAAGAAAGAUGCGAAAUCAGAGCUUAACUUUGGAAUUGCAUUUUUUAACUACCGAGCUAAAGAUGUGUCGGGGAGGUGGAAUUCCGCGUGUAGCAAUGCGUAGACAAGGAGGAACACCGAUGGCGAAGGCAGCCUCCUGGGAUAACACUGACGCUCAUGCACGAAAAGCGUGGGGAGCAAACAGAGUUAGAUCACCUGGUAGUCCACGCUACAAACGUCAACCGGCUGUUGGGGCCUUCGGGCCUUGGUAGCACAACUAACGCGUGGGGUGACCGCCUGGGGAAUACGGUCGCAAGAUUAAAACUCAAAGGAAUUGACAGGGAUUACAAGCGGUGGAUGAUGUGGAUUAAUUCGAUGCAACGCGAAACCUUACCUACCCUUGACAUGUCUGGAAUCCCGAAGAGAUUUGGGAGUGCUCGCAAGAGAACCGGAACACAGGUGCUGCAUUUUAACAAUCGUCGGCUCGUGUCGUGGAUGUUGGGUUAAGUCCCGCAACGAGCACAACCCUUGUCAUUAGUUGCUACGAAGGGCACUCUAAUGAGACUGCCAGUGACAAACCGGAGGAAGUGCGUCAAGUCCUCAUGGCCUGUAGGUGAACUACGUCAUACAAUGGUCAGGACAGAGGGUCGCCAACCCACGAGGGGGAGCCAAUCCCAGAAACCCGAUCGUAGUCUGGAUCCUGAUCUGCAACUCGACUGCGUGAAGUGGAAUCGCUAGUAAUCGCGGAUCAAUAUCGCGGUGAAUACGUUCCAGGUCUUGUACACACCGCCCGUCACCAUACUGGAGUGGGUUUUACCAGAAGUAGUUAGCUAGCCGUAAGGAGGGCGAUUACCACGGUAAGUUCAUGACUGGGGUGAAGUCGUAACAAGGUAG
rnacentral:rRNA from 1 species